rnacentral:rRNA from 1 species
UACGUAGGGGGCAAGCGUUGUCCGGAUUUAUUGGGCGUAAAGAGCGUGUAGGCGGCUUGACAGGUCUGCUGUGAAAACUCGAGGCUCAACCUCGAGAUGUCGGCGGAAACCGUCUGGCUAGAGUCCGGAAGAGGAGAGUGGAAUUCCUGGUGUAGCGGUGAAAUGCGCAGAUAUCAGGAGGAACACCGAUGGCGAAGGCAGCUCGCUGGGACGGUACUGACGCUGAGGCGCGAAAGCGUGGGGAGCAAACAGG